UAUCACUUUCAACAGAUUUCCAGUCUCUGAACCAAAUACCACCCAAUAUUCCAAAAGCAUCCAUGUAACUCAUUAGCAGACACUCCCCAUCCACACCCCACCAGCCCAACAGGACCCCUACUCUGCUCUCUGCCUCACCCUCUGCCUCCUGAUCACUCCACAUCAAU